UAUUUUUUUUUUUGCUAGAGGAUUGGAGCAAAUGAAUACUCAAAACUGAAAAAUAGUGGUUAAGGUGUUUCUCUUAUUUUUGUCCCAAGCUAUGUAAUCUUGUUCAGUGGGAUUGGACAAGGGGAGAGAGGGAGGGUGUCUGUGAGGAAUGUCUCUGUUUUACAACCAUUGCAAGCUGCAGCUUGGCUGCUGAACAAAAGCAGUUUCUGUUUUUCAGCUGCCAGAGAGAACCAAGGGAGUGGGGGAGGUGGAGGCGGGAAGCAGGCAAAAUCAGGUCUCCCCUCCCCCGGCCGGGAGGUUCUGUGUGACUCAGGCUAAGAGUGUCUAGCCCCCUCUAGGAGGCCGGAUAUGAGCCACCAAUCCCCGGAGCAAACACGAGUAAAACAAAAAGCCGUAUAGCCACGUCUUCCAUUUAAAUAGCUUUUUUUUUUUACACAUUAAGCAGUUUAUGGUUUGGUGUAUGACUUCACCAACUGGCAAAUGCAUCCCAAGUCUCCUCCCUUCACUAUCUUGUUUCCUCCCUGUCACAGAGAAUGAAAGCUGUGUUGUGUAUGUGUCAGAUUGAAGGGGCAACUAGUUUAUGUGUAAAGAAAGAUCAGCAGGAAAGGAAUCUGUCAACAAGCCCAGCCUGCAGUGCAAUGUGCCCGCCACUGUCAUAAACAAGGCGUGGGCUGCUGGGACCACCGGCCACGAAAAGUGGCUAUUAAAUGGUCUAUUUAAUCAGGGAUCUAGAUGGUGAAAAUAAAGGAUAUCACGAAGAAAUCAAUUGGUGUGGAUUUUAAGGGAAAACACAAUGUAAAUAAGUUUAAAGUUGUUUUUUAAAGAACAAGCAAAUACCCCACUCCCACUCUGGCUGUCUGGCAGUAAUCACAUUACAAUAAUUGAUGGGUGGGGGGUGAGAGGGGGCUUCAGAACCCGCAAUUUCACUGACCCUCUCUAGCUCACUUGUUGACUCAAUUUUAACUCAUUGUUUUUGCUGCAACCAAUGGCCCAGGGCAAGAUUUGAAA